UAAAGAGGUGGGGUUUCAGGUGUCUACAGAAGGUGGUGAUUGACCAACGAGAGCCUGUCACCCGGGCUCUCGUCGGACCCUGGCCUUCGUGCGACAACGCUUUUGGUGGCCUAGUAUGGUUCCAGAUGUUGCCACAUUUGUCGCCGCCUGCACAGUCUAUACACAGAACAAGACUCCUCGGCAAGCUCUGGCUGGUCUUCUCCAACCACUGCCUGUCCCUCACCGUCCCUGGUCUCAUAUAUCCCUGGAUUUCGUCAUGGGUCUCCCCCCAUCUGAGGGCAACACUGCCAUCCUGACUGUGGUCAAACAGUUUUUCAAAGCCGCCCACUUCAUUCCCCUCCCCAAACUACCCUCAGCCAAGAAGAUGGCCUAGCUUAUGGUGCAGCACGUCUUCUGGAUCCACGGACUCCCAGUUGUCAUAGUCUCCGACCGAGGUCCGCAGUUCUCGUCCCGGUUCUGGAAGGCGUUCUACACGCUCAUUGGGUCGUCGGCCAGCGUGUUCUCUGGAUUCCACCCCCAGUCCAACGGCCAGUCAGCGCGAACCAACCAGGACUUAGAGACGACUCUUCGCUGCCUAGUCUCCACCAAAUCUACCACCUGGAGUCAGCAACCGGUAUGGGUUGAGUACGCUCGCAACACCCUUCCUUGCUCUGCCACGGGUCUCUCCCUUUGAGUGUUCCUUGGGAUAUCAGCCUCCCCUCAUCGCCGGCUUCCACCGCCGGCACCCCAGUCAACCAGUCAACCAGCGUUUUUGUGUCUCAGCUCCUGCUUUUCCCAGUCUCUCUUUUUCUCACCCUCCUGGCUUUGACCCUUGCCUGUCCUAAGUCUGAGCCCGCCUGCCUGACCACUCUGCCUGCCCCUGACCCUGACCCUGCCUGCCGACCUGUACCUUUGCCCCACCUUUGGAUUAUUGACCUCUGCCUACCCUGACGCUGAGCCUGCUUGCCGUCUGGUACCGUUGCCCCACCUCUGGUUUACUGACCCCUGCCCGCCUUGACCUGUCUAUUGCCUGCCCCUGUUGGAUUAUUAAACCAUUGUGAAUUCAACGUUGUCUGCAUCUGGGUCUUACCUUCAUACCUGAUAAGGCUUUUAAAACCCAAUAUUGCUGCACAAAUUUUACAGAAAAUGUCAAAGGGAUGCAAAAGGCACUCAUUUCGUGGAAUGACCCUACAUUCAAACAACUCACGCAAGAACUCUCUCUCUUUAUCUGAAUUUAUCUGAGUUCCAGUCUCUCUGUGAGAUUCCAUGUUCUAUUAUUGACCUUAUCAACAACUGUAAAAAAUGUUUUUGCCUUACUGCGUGUCUGCAACAGGCUCUAACUUGGCAUUAAACGCAGAUCUAGGAUCAGCUAACC
rnacentral:lncRNA from 1 species